GAUGAACGCUGGCGGCGUGCCUAAUACAUGCAAGUCGAGCGAACAGACGAGGAGCUUGCUCCUCUGACGUUAGCGGCGGACGGGUGAGUAACACGUGGAUAACCUACCUAUAAGACUGGGAUAACUUCGGGAAACCGGAGCUAAUACCGGAUAAUAUAUUGAACCGCAUGGUUCAAUAGUGAAAGACGGUUUUGCUGUCACUUAUAGAUGGAUCCGCGCCGCAUUAGCUAGUUGGUAAGGUAACGGCUUACCAAGGCAACGAUGCGUAGCCGACCUGAGAGGGUGAUCGGCCACACUGGAACUGAGACACGGUCCAGACUCCUACGGGAGGCAGCAGUAGGGAAUCUUCCGCAAUGGGCGAAAGCUUGACGGAGCAACGCCGCGUGAGUGAUGAAGGUCUACGGAUCGUAAAACUCUGUUAUUAGGGAAGAACAAAUGUGUAAGUAACUAUGCACGUCUUGACGGUACCUAAUCAGAAAGCCACGGCUAACUACGU
rnacentral:rRNA from 1 species